GCCUACGGUGAAACUGCUCUGAAUACGCCCGAUCCCACACAAUCUCAGAAGCUAAGCAGGGAUGGGCCCAGGAUGUUCUUGGACGGGAGUCCUCCAGGACAUACUGGGUGCUGUAGGCC
rfam:Anolis carolinensis unplaced genomic scaffold chrTn0132, whole genome shotgun sequence.